AUUGAACGCUGGCGGAAUGCUUUACACAUGCAAGUCGAACGGCAGCACGGGAGCUUGCUCCUGGUGGCGAGUGGCGAACGGGUGAGUAAUGCAUCGGAACGUACCUAUUAGUGGGGGAUAACUAUCCGAAAGGAUAGCUAAUACCGCAUACGUCCUGAGGGAGAAAGCGGGGGAUCGCAAGACCACGCGCUAAUAGAGCGGCCGAGGAGGGAUUAGCUAGAUGGUGGGGUAAAGGCCUACCAAGGCGACUAUCCAUAGCGGGUCUGAGAGGAGGAUAAGACGCGCUGGGACUGAGACACGGCCCAGACUCCUACGGGAGGGAGCAGUGGUGAAUGUUGGACAAGGGGGGCAACCCUGAUCCAGCCAGUCCGCGUGAGUGAAGAAGGCCUUCGGGUUGUAAAGCUCUUUCGGCAGGAGCGAAACGGUGUUUACUAAUACUAGCUACUAAUGACGGUACCUGAAGAAGAAGCACCGGCUAACUACGUGCCAGCAGCCGCGGUAA
rnacentral:rRNA from 1 species